AAGUCAACGUUUCAGCUCCCACAUACGUAUGUUUUGUCCCGAUGAAAGAUCCAUGUGGGAGCUGAAACGUUGACUU